rnacentral:lncRNA from 1 species
UCAUUUGGUUAAGCGUCUGACUCUUGAUCUCAGCUCAGAUCAUGAUCUCAUGGUUUGUGAGUUCACCCCCCUCAUCGGGCUCUGCACUUGACAGUGUGGCUCCUGCUUGAGAUUCUCUCUCUUUUUCUCUCUCUCUGCCCCCCGCCCAUGAGCCUGUGAGAGUGUGUGGUGGGGGAGGGGGUAUGUGCACUAUCUCUCAAAAAUAAACUCAUGGGGAAAAGAAGAAAAGGGAUGUGUGGAAGGGGAUCCCACUCAAGAAAGUCUAUGAAGGGCACCUCUUGACUCAGCCCUGCAGCCUUGGCUUCCCAGGUAAUUUAUUACAGAGAUCUGGCUGGGCUUCACAGUGGAGUCUGGAGGCCUUGUGGGGGAUGACAAAGGAGGAACCGGAUCUUGUCUUUAAACAAAGCUGAAGCAGAGGCGGAGAGCCGGUGUUUGGCUAUAUGAGAGGCCUCCAUAUGCUGGCUCUUCCAGCCCACACUGGGGACCAUUGUUCAGAGAUUGAGAAUCAUCGCUGCAGCCUGCACUGAUUAGUGCACCCCUCCCACACGCAACAAGAAAUUGCUUUCCAAAUACUCUUUCAUAGAAAUAGAAACUGCAAACAAUAAAGCAGUAUUUCAUCAUUAGUUAUUAUUAAAUGUUGCCGAUGUUCUUAGAGAUAAAAGGUGAAGA